UUGAAAGGGAAACGAUUGAAGUCAGUCAUACCAACGGGAAAUCAACCUUUUGAGCUUGGUCUCGUGGGUUUUGAAGAGUUUCAAAGCCUUCGGACUCGCGGGAUUGGGAUCUCUUGGUGUACUUUCUCGUACGGUUAGUCAACAUCGGUUUUGAAUGUCAUAAAAUGACUGGAGGAAUGUAGCUUCUUGAAGUGUUAUAGCCUUUGGUAGAUGUGAUGUUUGAGACCGAGGAUUGCAACGGAUACCCUUCAGGGCUAUUCGUCUGAUCUCUGAUACGUUGCCUUGAUGUUGAAAGCUUGCUUAUGAUGUCAGGGUAUUACGGUCAAAAGGUUAGAACGAAUUCAUUCGUUAAGGAUGUUGACGUA
rnacentral:rRNA from 1 species